AACGCUGGCGGCGUGCCUAACACAUGCAAGUCGAGCGAAGAUUAUAGCAAUGUAAUCUUAGCGGCGGACGGGUGAGUAACGCGUGGGCAACCUACCUCAAACUGGGGGGAUAACACAGGGAAACUUGUGCUAAUACCGCAUAACAUCAUGAAAUGACAUCAUUUUUAUGAUCAAAGGAGCAAUCCGGUAAGAGAUGGGCCCGCGUCCAAUUAGCUAGUUGGUGGUGUAACGGACCACCAAGGCGACGAUUGGUAGCCGAACUGAGAGGUUGAUCGGCCACAUUGGGACUGAGACACGGCCCAGACUCCUACGGGAGGCAGCAGUGGGGAAUAUUGCGCAAUGGGGGAAACCCUGAACCGCAGCAACGCCGCGUGAAGGAUGAAGGUUUUCGGAUCGUAAACUUCUUUGAUGAGGGACGAAACAAAUGACGGUACCUCAAAAACAAGCCACGGCUAACUACGUGCCAGCCGCUGC
rnacentral:rRNA from 1 species